GACGGACGCUGGCGGCGUGCUUAACACAUGCAAGUCGAACGGUGAAGCGCCUUCCUUUUUGGUGGGUGUGGAUGAGUGGCGAACGGGUGAGUAACACGUGAGUAACCUGCCCCCUUCUUCUGGAUAACCGCAUGAAAGUGUGGCUAAUACGGGAUAUUCUGGGUCUGUCGCAUGAUGGGUCUGGGAAAGAUAUUGUUUCGGUGGGGGAUGGGCUCGCGGCCUAUCAGCUUGUUGGUGGGGUGAUGGCCUACCAAGGCGGUGACGGGUAGCCGGCCUGAGAGGGUGGACGGUCACACUGGGACUGAGACACGGCCCAGACUCCUACGGGAGGCAGCAGUGGGGAAUAUUGCACAAUGGGCGCAAGCCUGAUGCAGCGACGCCGCGUGAGGGAUGGAGGCCUGCGGGUUGUGAACCUCUUUCGCCAGUGAAGCAGGCCUGCCUCGUUUGUGGGUGGGUUGACGGUAGCUGGAGAAGAAGCGCCGGCUAACUACGUG
rnacentral:rRNA from 1 species